rnacentral:rRNA from 1 species
GUAGGUGGCAAGCGUUGUCCGGAAUUAUUGGGCGUAAAGCGCGCGCGGCGGUUCUUUAAGUCUGAUGUGAAAGCCCACGGGCUCAACCGUGGAGGGUCAUUGGAAACUGGAGAACUUGAGUACAGAAGAGGAAAGCGGAAUUCCACGUGUAGCGGUGAAAUGCGUAGAGAUGUGGAGGAACACCAGUGGCGAAGGCGGCUUUCUGGUCUGUAACUGACGCUGAGGCGCGAAAGCGUGGGGAGCAAACAGGAUUAGAUACCCUGGUAGUCCACGCCGUAAACGAUGAGUGCUAAGUGUUAGGGGGUUUCCGCCCCUUAGUGCUGCAGCUAACGCAUUAAGCACUCCGCCUGGGGAGUACGGCCGCAAGGCUG